GACAGAAGCCUCAAGCGUUAGGCGGAAUCACUGGGCUUAAAGCGUGUGUAGGCGGAUGCCUAAGUACCUUGUGAAAUCCCACGGCUCAACCGUGGAACUGCUGGGUAUACUGGGCGUCUUGGGCCAUUCAGGGGCGACUGGAACAAGCGGUGGAGCGGUGAAAUGCGUAGAUAUCGCUUGGAACGCCGAAGGUGAAAACAGGUCGCUGGGGAUGUGCCGACGCUGAGACACGAAAGCCAGGGGAGCAAACAGG
rnacentral:rRNA from 1 species